GGCAGGGAAAUGCAACUGGCGGCCCGCGGGCCAGAUCCGGACCGUUUAUUAAUUUAGACUGGCUCUUUGAUCAAUCAUGAACAUUAAUACAAGAUCUGCAACAACAACAAAAAUCUCAGAACAAAAUCUGACGUUCAGUGCCAAAAUGACAAACACUACGUUGGUUGUCCACAGCACGGUGAAUUCGUGUCUAGUGUUUGAACGGUUUAAGCAACAGUGACCCCGUCUCUGAAAGCUGCGACUCUCAGGAACACGGAUUGGCUUUCUGUUUCCCUCUGUGAUGCUCGCAAGGACUCAUUUCCUAAUUACGUUUAGCAACAUUUAAUUUUAAGCGCUUUAUUGGUAUGUGUGCGUUGCUUUUUUAAAACAGUUCUUCCCGAAAGAAUAAUUGCAUAUGUGUUAAAUGUCAGACCCCCUGCAAUGAACCUUUUAUUACAUCAGCCCCUGUAAGAGUAUAGCUGAACAGCUGUAGGGAAUCAUUGUACCAUCUGAAUUGCUGUGAAAGAUUUUGUCUAUAACAAAAACAAUAUAUAUUUUUUUAAGUCUUUUUGAAGUAGGUGAAUGAAACUGAAAGUAAAAUAGUCUGAUGUCACUUGUUAAAUCCACUUCAAUCAGUGUAGGUGAAGAGGAGGAGACGGGUUAAAGAAGAAGGAUUUUUAAGCCUUGUGACAAUUGAAACAUGGAUUGUGUGUGUGUGUGUGCCAUUCAGAGGAUGAAUGGGCAAGACAAAAGAUUUAAGUGCCUUUGAACGGGGUAUGGUAGUAGGUGCCAGGCACACUGGUUUGUGUCAAGAACUGCAACGCUGCUGGGUUUUUCCACACUCAACAAUUUAUAAAUGUACGUUUAGUGUUAGUUUCCUUACAUUUUGCAUCAUUCCGUUGCAUUGUUAGUUGACCUUUCUUUCCUCUGUCACGUUCGUAUGGUUGUUCAUGAGGAUCGCUAGCAAUAGUGGAUCAUAUUAGGCUAACCUAUUACAAGUUGGGAAAUAAUUUGGGGCAGGUAGCCUAUUGGAAUCCCUAUGGAACUCAGACCAGGUUCACGACGACUGGACUGGUGUCCUCACAGUUCCAUGAUUAGGGAGGAUUAUCAGGGUAGAUUAUCAGGGUAGAAUAUAUCAGGGUAGUAUAUCAGGGUAGAUUAUUAGGGUGGAUUAUCAGGGUAGAUUAUUAGGGUGGAUUAUCAGGGUAGAUUAUCAGGGUAGAUAU
rnacentral:lncRNA from 1 species